rnacentral:rRNA from 1 species
GAUGAACGCUGGCGGCGUGCCUAAUACAUGCAAGUCGAGCGAACAGACGAGGAGCUUGCUCCUCUGACGUUAGCGGCGGACGGGUGAGUAACACGUGGAUAACCUACCUAUAAGACUGGGAUAACUUCGGGAAACCGGAGCUAAUACCGGAUAAUAUAUUGAACCGCAUGGUUCAAUAGUGAAAGACGGUUUUGCUGUCACUUAUAGAUGGAUCCGCGCCGCAUUAGCUAGUUGGUAAGGUAACGGCUUACCAAGGCAACGAUGCGUAGCCGACCUGAGAGGGUGAUCGCCCACACUGGAACUGAGACGCGGUCCAGACUCCUACGGGAGGCAGCAGUAGGGAAUCUUCCGCAAUGGGCGAAAGCUUGACGGAGCAACGCCGCGUGAGUGAUGAAGGUCUUCGGAUCGUAAAACUCUGUUAUUAGGGAAGAACAAAUGUGUAAGUAACUAUGCACGUCUUGACGGUACCUAAUCAGAAAGCCACGGCUAACUACGUG